AUUGAACGCUGGCGGCAGGCUUAACACAUGCAAGUCGAGCGGGGGAAGGUAGCUUGCUACCGGACCUAGCGGCGGACGGGUGAGUAAUGCUUAGGAAUCUGCCUAUUAGUGGGGGACAACAUCUCGAAAGGGAUGCUAAUACCGCAUACGUCCUACGGGAGAAAGCAGGGGAUCUUCGGACCUUGCGCUAAUAGAUGAGCCUAAGUCGGAUUAGCUAGUUGGUGGGGUAAAGGCCUACCAAGGCGACGAUCUGUAGCGGGUCUGAGAGGAUGAUCCGCCACACUGGGACUGAGACACGGCCCAGAAUCCUACGGGAGGCAGCAGUGGGGAAUAUUGGACAAUGGGGGGAACCCUGAUCCAGCCAUGCCGCGUGUGUGAAGAAGGCCUUAUGGUUGUAAAGCACUUUAAGCGAGGAGGAGGCUACUCUAGUUAAUACCUAGGGAUAGUGGACGUUACUCGCAGAAUAAGCACCGGCUAACUCUGCGCCAGCCGCCGCCGUAA
rnacentral:rRNA from 1 species